rnacentral:rRNA from 1 species
GAUGAAUGCUGGCGGCGUGCCUAAGGCAUGCAAGUCGAACGAAUCAUUGCAACAGGUGAUGGUUAGUGGCAAACGGGUGCGUAACACAUUGGUAUCUGCCUCGUAGUCGGGCAUAACGUUCCGAAAGGGACGCUAAUUCCACGAUGGUCUCGCAAGAGUAAAGUCGCAAGACGCUACGAGAGGAGCCUAUGGCCUAUCAGCUAGUUGGUGAGGUAAUGGCUCACCAAGGCUAUGACGGGUAGGGGGUGUGAGAGCACGACCCCCCUCACUGGGACUGAGACACUGCCCAGACACCUACGGGUGGCAG